rnacentral:rRNA from 1 species
CAACAACGGAUCUCUUGGUUCUGGCAUCGAUGAAGAACGCAGCGAAAUGCGAUAAGUAAUGUGAAUUGCAGAAUUUAGUGAAUCAUCGAAUCUUUGAACGCACAUUGCGCCCCUCGGUAUUCCGGGGGGCAUGCCUGUUCGAGCGUCAUUACACCCCU